rnacentral:rRNA from 1 species
CAGCAGCCGCGGUAAUACGAGGGGGGCAAGCGUUGUUCGGAAUUAUUGGGCGUAAAGGGUGCGUAGGCGGUUCAGCAAGUCUCGUGUGAAAUCUUCGGGCUCAACUCGAAGUCUGCACGGGAAACUACUGGGCUUGAGUAUUGGAGAGGUGAGUGGAAUUUCCGGUGUAGCGGUGAAAUGCGUAGAUAUCGGAAGGAACACCUGUGGCGAAAGCGGCUCACUGGACAAUAACUGACGCUGAUGCACGAAAGCUAGGGGAGCAAACAGGAUUAGAUACCCCAGUAGUCCCUGUCUCUUAUAC